UGGGAGGUAAAUUUCUCCUAAGGCUAAAUAUCGGCGAGAGACCGAUAGCGAACAAGUACCGUGAGGGAAAGAUGAAAAGAACUUUGAAAAGAGAGUAAAAUAGUACGUGAAAUUGUUAAAAGGGAAACGAUUGAAGUCAGUCGUACCGACGAGAAAUCAGCUUAUCGUGUGCGAACUUGUGGGCGUGCGUGAGUUUCGGCCUCGCUGUUUGCAUGUUUGUGCGCUUUGGGUGUGCUUUUUCGUAUGGUAGGCCAACGUCAGUUUCAAUCACUAUAAAAUGACCGGCGGAAUGUAGCUUCGAUUUCGGUUGAAGUGUUAUAGCCUCUGGUAGAUGUGGCGAUUGGGACUGAGGAUUGCAACGAAUACCCUUUGGGCUAUCCGUCUGGCCUCUGAAAGUUGCUUAGGUGCCGAAAGCUUGCUUACGGUCAUCGAAAUUGACGGUCAAUAGGUUAGAACGUGAUUACAUUCGUUAAGGACGUUGGCGUAAUGGCUUUAAACGACCCGUCUUGAAACACGGACCAAGGAGUCUAACAUAUAUGCGAGUGUUCGGGUGUGUAAACCCCUACGCGUAAUGAAAGUAAUUUAGGUGGGAUCACUUUUUGUGUGCACCAUCGACC
rnacentral:rRNA from 1 species